AGAUUGAACGCUGGCGGCAGGCCUAACACAUGCAAGUCGAGCGGUAGAGAGGUGCUUGCAUCUCUUGAGAGCGGCGGACGGGUGAGUAAUGCCUAGGAAUCUGCCUAGUGGUGGGGGAUAACGUUCGGAAACGGACGCUAAUACCGCAUACGUCCUACGGGAGAAAGCGGGGGACCUUCGGGCCUCGCGCCAUUAGAUGAG
rnacentral:rRNA from 1 species